GUGAGGAAUUUUCCGCAAUGGGCGAAAGCCUGACGGAGCAAUGCCGCGUGAAGGAUGAAGGCCUAUGGGUUGUAAACUUCUUUUCUCAGAAAAGAAUUAUGACGGUAUCUGAGGAAUAAGCAUCGGCUAACUCUGUGCCAGCAGCCGCGGUAAGACAGAGGAUGCAAGCGUUAUCCGGAAUGAUUGGGCGUAAAGCGUCUGUAGGUUGUUUAAAAAGUAUUCUGUCAAAGAUUAGGGCUUAACCCUAGAUAGGCAGAAUAAACUUUUAAGCUAGAGUUUGGUAGAGGCAGAGGGAAUUCCCGGUGGAGCGGUGAAAUGCGAAGAUAUCGGGAGGAACACCAAAGGCGAAGGCACUCUGCUGGGCCAAUACUAACACUGAGAGACGAAAGCGAGGGGAGCAAAUGGGAUUAGAUACCCCGGUAGUCC
rnacentral:rRNA from 1 species